rnacentral:rRNA from 1 species
ACAUCGCCUCUUGUGAAAUAAAAAUAAGAGGUCCCACCUGCCCUGUGACAUAUGUUUAACGGCCGCGGUAUUUUGACCGUGCAAAGGUAGCGCAAUCACUUGUCUUUUAAAUGAAGACCUGUAUGAAUGGUAUAACGAAGGCUUAGCUGUCUCCUUUCCCCGGUCAAUGAAAUUGAUCUCCCCGUGCAGAAGCGGGGAUAAAAACAUAAGACGAGAAGACCCUAUGGAGCUUAAGACAAAAUAGUAGUCCAUAUAAAGUAACUUCAAAUAAAAGGUUAUAUUUUUUGCCUCCUGCUUGAAUGUCUUUGGUUGGGGCGACCGCGGGGAAAUAAAUAACCCCCAUGUGGAUUGAGAGAACCUCUCCCAAAACCAAGAGUCACCACUCUAAGUAACAGAACCUCUGACCAAAAUGAUCCGGUAAACACCGAUCAACGAACCGAGUUACCCUAGGGAUAACAGCGCAAUCCCCUUCCAGAGCCCAUAUCGACAAGGGGGUUUACGACCUCGAUGUUGGAUCAGGACAUCCUAAUGGUGCAGCCGCUAUUAAGGGUUCGUUUGUUCAACGAUUAAAGUCCUACGUGAUCUGAGUUCAGACCGGAGUAAUC